rnacentral:rRNA from 1 species
CCUACGGGAGGCAGCAGUGAGGAAUAUUGGUCAAUGGACGAGAGUCUGAACCAGCCAAGUAGCGUGAAGGAUGACUGCCCUAUGGGUGGUAAACUUCUUUUAUAAAGGAAUAAAACGAGGCACGUGUGCAUUUUUGCAUGUACUUUAUGAAUAAGGCUCGGCUAACUCCGUGCCAGCAGCCGCGGUAAUACGGAGGCUCCGAGCGUUAUCCGGAUUUAUUGGGUUUAAAGGGAGCGUAGAUGGGUUGUUAAGUCAGUUGUGAAAGUUUACGGCUCAACCGUAAAAUUGCAAUUGAAACUGGCAGUCUUGAGUACGGUUGAGGUAGGCGGAAUUCGUGGUGUAGCGGUGAAAUGCUUAGAGAUCACGAAGAACCCCGAUUGCGAAGGCAGCUUACUAGACUGUGACUGACAUUGAUGCUCGAAAGUGUGGGUAUCAAACAGGAUUAGAUACCCUAGUAGUC